AAGGCUGAAAUUCGCCUUCAUGAAGCUGGAAUUGCUAGUAAUGGCAGGUCAGCAUACUGCCGUGAAUACGUUCCCGGGCCUUGUACACACCGCCCGUCACACCAUGAGAGUUGGGGAUACCCGAAGCCUGUGAGCUAACAGUAAUGGAGCAGCAGUCGAAGGUAGAAUCAAUGAUUGGGGUGAAGUCGUAACAAGGUAGC
rnacentral:rRNA from 1 species